ensembl:snoRNA
AGCCUCCUGAUGCUUACCACAGGCUGUAUUCUUACACUGUAUAGAAAGAGGAGUCAGAGUAAACCCACCCCAUAUACACCUAAGGCCAGGAAGGCCCUGUGCCUUGUCUGUAUUGUGAUUGGGAGGACAUGG